GAGAGGGAGACAGACACAGAGAGAGAUAGAGGCAGACAGACGGAGAGAGAGAGAGAGAGAGAGAGGGAGAGAGAGAGAGAGAGGGAGAGAGAGAGAGAGAGAGAGAGAGGGAGAGAGAGAGAGAGAGAGAGAGAGAGAGAGAGAGAGAGAGAGAGAGAGAGAGAGAGACCCAGACAGAAUACAAAGGAAAUUCUUGUUGUAGAUGGAGUGAAGAAAGAAUGCGAGUUGUGAAAAGAAGGACUGUGAGAGAGGGGGACAGAAACGAGGGAGCGCGCACACUGAAGGACGUCCCUAAAUACACUCACAGGAAGAAGUGUGAGUCUGAGGAAGGGGCUGGAGGGAAAUAAAGUUUAAAGAUACAGUACACCUUUUAACACCAGCUCCUUCCUGAACAACGUUACAUAUAUUAUAUAUAUAUAUAUAUAUAUAUAUAUAGAGAGAGAGAGAGAGAGAGAGAAGUGCGCCGCACCAAACCGAUAUACAGAUAUAUACAUACAGAUAUUGAUUUCCCCAGCCCAGAGCUCUGUGCUACUGCACUUCCUAUUACAGCCUUAUCGCCUGACUUCAUUACAGCACAUCAUCAUCAUCUUCAUCACCAUCACCCUCUUCUUCAUCACCACCAUCAUCCUCCUCUUAAUCACCACCAUCACCAUCACCCUCCUCUUCAUCACCACCAUCAUCAUCAUCAUCAUCAUCACCACCCUCUUCAUCACCACUAUCAUCCUCUUCAUCACCACCAUCAUCAUCAUCAUCAUCACCACCCUCUUCAUCACCACCAUCACCACCACUAUCAUCCUCUUCAUCACCACCAUCAUCAUCCUCUUCAUCACCACCGUCUUCAUCAUCAUCAUCAUCAUCACCACCCUCUUCAUCACCACCACCAUCAUCCUCUUCAUCACCACCAUCUUCAUCACCACCAUCUUCAUCACCACCACCAUCACCAUCACCACCACCACCAUCCUCUUCAUCACCUCCAUCUUCAUCACCACCACCACCACCAUCAUCUUCUCACCAUCACCACCCUCCUCCCCAUCACCACCACCAUUAUCACCAUCAUCGUACAAGAGUUACGAACAUCGUGCUGAUGUUAAAUCUCACAGCAGCACCAGCA
ensembl:lncRNA